AUGAGGACACUGAGGCCCCAGACCUCUAUGUCAGCUGCCAUAUUAAGGCAGAUGUCAUGUGCUGUGGUGAAGAUGGGAUCCGAACGCCCGGCAGCCUGGAUCCAGAUUUGGAGACUGAGACUGAGGGCUCUGGCGUCAGCGGGAGCUGGGCUGGAAUCGUCCAGAUUCUUACCUAGAAUCUUCCAGGGACCACUUACUCCUUCUGCUUCCACUGGCUCCUGGGCUGUGGGUUGGAAUAUACAGGAGAGGAAAGGGGACUUUAGGACAAGUGCCAAGAACUUUGCAGAAAUCUUCCUUGCUCAUCCUGUACAAAUCUGUGAAGCCUUCUGGGUCUCCUCCGUGCCGAGUGGCACUGAGGCCCGCUCUGCGCUGCUGGCCCUUCAGCUCCUGGCUCUGGUUCUUCUCUGGCCCCCUCUCAUGGCACAGAAGACUCUCCGGGGGUGUGCUGAGUGCAGAAAGCAAGUUGACCAUCAGCAGAGAGGGCAAGAUGAGGAAGGUGAGGCUGCCAAAGAAGAAUCACCAAAAGCAGUUGGCAGAGUCCACAGCUCCCGCUCUUUGGCCUGCUCCAAGCUGUCUCCCGGGACAGGGACAAGGACCUUCCUUGGGAAUGGGACUUGGCUCCAAUCCUGGCUCUCCCUCCACGAGCAGGCAGCAGCCCCUGUAGGCACAUGGGAAAACAAGCCUCCUGGGGCACUAGGAGGCAAAAACACACAUAAAUAA
rnacentral:lncRNA from 12 species